ACGGCAUGAUGGGGGCAUUUAUGAAUUAAAUCCUUAAGUCUUUCCCACGUUUCAUGAAGUUGCUCACCAUCAAUUUGAGAGAAACUGGUGAUGGCUCGCCGAAUUU